GUCUACGGCCAUGCCACCCUGAACAAGCCCGAUCCCAUCUCAUCUCGAAAGCUGAGCAGGGUCAGGCCUGGUUAGUACUUAGAUGGGAGAUCACCUAGGAAGACUAGGUGCUGUAGGCG
rnacentral:rRNA from 1 species